GCUUGUCUCAAAGAUUAAGCCAUGCAUGUCUUAGUGUAAAUAACUCUUAUGAAACUGCGAAUGGCUCAUUAAAUCAGUUAUCAAAUACGUGAUGGUCGCCUACUACAUGGAUAACCGUAGUAAUUCUAGAGCUAAUACAUGCACAAAGGCCCACUCACGUGGGUUGUGAUUAUUAGAUUCAAACCGGCCUCGUUCUGGUGAUUCAUAAUAAUUGGUCGAAUCGCAUGGCUUUGCUGGCGAUAUAUCUUCUAAGUUUCUGACCUAUCAGCUUUCGACGGUAAGGUAUUGGCUUACCGUGGCAAUGACGGGUAACGGAGAAUUAGGGUUCGAUUCCGGAGAGGGAGCCUGAGAAACGGCUACCACAUCUAAGGAAGGCAGCAGG
rnacentral:rRNA from 1 species